GCACUGAACAUAAUAGUUUGUGAACUUUAUAGGCACAUAGUGAAAAACAAAUCAUUAAACUGAUUCUUGUACAACUCAUAUGUUUAUCUAAAGCAUUUUUCCUAUUUGCCUGAACAUACGUAACUAAUUUUAUUUUAAGUUUGUAAAAUCUCCUUGUGUAGAAAGAACUGUAUUGAAAUUGUGCACGUGAAUAAUGACCAAUAUUAUGCUACAUGAUUAGUUUCGUUCGUUAGUGCUACAUGGCGACUAUAAACUCACUGAUAUUGUGCUACAGUGGUGGAACUUGAGUACGAAUUAUAUGGUUGAGAUUGACCAAACAUAAUAUUAUGAAAUACACUAACUUUAACAUAUAAAGGAUAAUCAUUUUUAUAAGAUAAUGUUUUAAAUCAAACUGUAAGAUAAAUGUUUACAAACGUUGUCGACGGUUUAUAAUUUAAUGUAAUGUUAUUUAAUUUCUCUAGAGAAAAAACUUAGACUAAGGUUUAUCCAAAUCUAUACUAUAUUAAAAGGGGUAUAUGAGCUCCAUACAGCAUGUCCACGUAGGACAAUUAAAUCGACCAAUCACGUUGAAGCGUUUAGCCACGUCAGAUGGGCUGUGACCAAUCAAAACAUUUAAUUAAUACACGUUGGAUCUCCUACACUACGCUAUUGAUUUCGUAUGGGUUUCGAUGUGGUUCCGCUGGGCUUUUGUUCUUUAACAGUGGGCUUUGAUAUCAUAUAGCUACAAUCUAUCGGUAUAAUUUAAAAAAAAAAACAACCUAGCCGGUGAACACCAGGAUCUACGCCUCUCUUCUCUAGCUCUUCAUCUUCUUUGUUUGUUCUCUAUCGUUUCAGAUUUCUAUGAAUCUCCGUUUCAGAGUUUUGAUAACACAUUCAAUUCACUUCUUAUACCUUAUCUUCAUGAGAUCUUCUCCUUCACCUCCCUUUGUUUUCCAUCUUAUAUAACCCCUUUAUUGAUACUUACAUCAAACCUGCGCAAGGACGUUCUUAGGCAAACUGGAGGCUUGGAAGAAAGCGACAGCCUCAGCACCACUGAUACGACCAUCUCCAUCCAAAUCUGCUCUCCUGAAAUACGUAUCGAACAGAUCCUGGCUCCCCGUCGGCCUCGGCGCCGCCAUUUGAUCCGGAAGACAGUGUCCCACAACAAGAUGCGUGGAAAAGCCCUAACACAUAAGGCUGGCCGACUCCAAUAGUUAGAUCACCGCAUCGCAUGGGGGUUCGAUUGGAAGGAAGGAGAAAUGAGAUCGGUGGCGGUGAAGAUAGCGACGUUUACGAGAGGCGGAGAGGAUGAUGAUUCUCCCGACAGAGAAACAAUCCAAUUUCCCGGGGAUUUGAGAUGGAAACCGGUACAGCCCUUUAUUGAUACUUACAUCAAACCACAUCGUAGAACCUCUAUACAAUAAUAUCAAGCUAUGGGCCAUGGAAUCGAUUCAUACCUCCGGCAAGUCUCCUGUAGCCUUAUAAUUUUUUGUUAUAGAAUUUUCAAUCCUGAUGGUAAAUUGAUUUAUCUUCUGUCGACCGUCUUAACUGGUUCGAGGUUCCAUUUCUACAGGAUUCUGUCACAUUUUGACGUUGUGGUCCAUAGAAGAGUUCGAGAUAAGUUUUGCAAAGCUGUCACCUUUUAAAAUUAAGUAGUGAAUCUGACAGUGUUGUAAUUUUCUUACUUGCUUCAACUCUACUCUGAUUCUAUUGAAAACCAUUUCAUAUACAGAUUCUCUUCGCACCAACAACAGAGAAAUGGUUGUCGCUAGACCUGGGUAUGUGUUCUUUCUUAGCUCUUGAAAGUUUACUUCAACAAGCAUAUUUUAUCUUAACGAUCCAUAAAUGGUGUAGCAAAUAAAAGUCUUAGAUCAGUUGGUGAGACAAAUCUUAUCUUAUUUUACGAUCAUGCUGACCCAACUAGAACAAGAGAUUCAAUGGGCCAGAAUACAAGUAAAAAGUCUACCUGUCUUUUCGUAUAAGUAUGUACCUAUAUAAUUAUUUAUUUCACCAAAUGUCUUAAAGUAACUAUUUUGAUUACUGAUGGUUAUAUAGUUUGGGCGUAUUCAUUGGAGGGUUAUAUAGGAUGAGAUCAACAGCAAGGUUGAUUGGGAUGUCUCUUAGAGGAGGAGAUCAACAGUAAGGUGGACUACCCAUUUGUCCCGGCAACAUCAGCUCUGGUGGCUGGAGGAACAACAGAGGCUGUUUACCAAACUAAGUGUGGCGACCCAAGAGCAAAACACCUGGCCGAGAACGAGCUUACGAUGUUUGUUGAUGUGUGUGGAGAGGAAUAUAGUUCAAGGCAACUUCAGAGCAAUAACGUUUACCCGAAUUAGAUGAUUCUUUUCGCUUUACAAAUUUUUCAUUUAGUUUUCAGUAGCUAAUCGCACAUUUAAUUUUCAAAGCUCUGUGCUAAUGUUGUUGUUGAUGUGUAUGUUGAUCAUUUGGACAGGACCAAACUACUUUAAGAUUGAUAUGUAUAUGCACACGUUAAAUUACAUAACGAGAAUAUUUCAGGGAUAGGAUCAAGAAUGAGAUUCCUUCAUCUUUGUUUAACUAUUUAAAAUUUGGAAUAAAUCUCUCAAAAUAUUGGUUGGUGUGUCUUUCGUUUGUAGAGUGUAGUUGAAGUAAUAUUUUUGUUCUUUAUAACACACUCAAUCACCAAAAGAACUUUAUAUCAAAUAUUGUAUUGUGUUAGGGUAAAGAAUAUUCAUUUCAUGAAUUACCAAUAUGUUACACUUUAAAAAACAAACAAUGAUGAGAUUCCAGAUCUUAUUCACUACAAAGAACACAUAAAAGAGAAAAGAAUUGAUCAACUAAUCACCAGGGGAGCAAAGAGACAAAACCAAAGCAGAGAACAUGUUCACGUAUUUGUUUUAAGGAAGCAAAAGGAAAAAAAUACACCUCUUUUUUUGUAAACCAAUGUAACAAAACCAAUGUAACCAGAUUUACUCUAUAAAUAUCGUUAAGCAGUGACUAUGAGAGACGAGGGAAAGCAAGCAAGUUUUAGGUGAAUAAUUGUUUCUAUAUAUUUUUGAAUUAUGUGAAAGAUUUCUAUUGUCAAAUGGCAUCUGAUAUUGCAACUAAAAAUGUUUUUAUUUAUUCUCAAAUCUAACACUACAACAUUUUGUAAAGAAGCCAAGCAUUCAUAUUGCUAAGUAUAUUCUAUAGACGAAGGACCCUCUAUCUUGGACAACAUCUCCUAUGUUCAAAGUCAAGUUAAAUAGUGUUUGUAGAAUUCAUAACCAAAUAAAAUUGUGGGACACAACCAAACCGAGAACACAACUGCGUAGCACAAAAUAUAGAACUACAAUUUUAAGAUGAAAUAUUAAAAACAUAAUAACACAUAAACAC